rnacentral:rRNA from 1 species
UACGUAGGGUGCAAGCGUUAAUCGGAAUUACUGGGCGUAAAGCGUGCGCAGGCGGUUAUGUAAGUCAGAUGUGAAAUCCCCGGGCUCAACCCUGGGAAUGGCAUUUGAGACUGCAUGGCUAGAGUGUGUCCAGAGGGGGGGGUAGAAUUCCACGUGUAGCAGUGAAAUGCGUAGAUAUGUGGAGGAAUACCGAUGGCGAAGGCAGCCCCCUGGGACUAACACUGACGCCUCAUGCACGAAAGCGUGGGGAGCAAACAGG